rnacentral:rRNA from 1 species
GACGAACGCUGGCGGUGUGCUUAACACAUGCAAGUCGAACGGUAAGGCCCUUUCGGGGGUACACGAGUGGCGAACGGGUGAGUAACACGUGAGUAACCUGCCCUCAUCUCUGGGAUAACAGUCGGAAACGGUUGCUAAUACUGGAUAUGAGCUUGCAAGGCAUCUUGUGGGUUGGAAAGAUUUUUUUGGUUGGGGAUGGACUCGCGGCCUAUCAGCUUGUUGGUGAGGUAGUGGCUCACCAAGGCUUCGACGGGUAGCCGGCCUGAGAGGGCGACCGGCCACAUUGGGACUGAGAUACGGCCCAAACUCCUACGGGAGGCAGCAGUGGGGAAUAUUGACCAAUGGACGGAAGUCUGAUGCAGCAACGCCGCGUGCGGGAUGACGGCCUUCGGGUUGUAAACCGCUUUCAAUUGUGACGAAGCUUUUUGUGACGGUAGCAGUAGAAGAAGCACCGGCUAACUACGUG